rnacentral:RNase_P_RNA from 1 species
GGGAGAAGGCGGACAGCUGACGCCCCUGUAGGGGUGAGGAAAGUCCCCCCUCCAUAGAGUAGGAGGAACGGCGCAAGCCGUUACGGCGAGAGUCGUGGAAACGGAGCAGAAACGACACAGCCCUAUGAUACAGUGAUUCUGUGAAGAUGAGGUUUCAUAGGGAUAUGGUGAAACGGCCAUCCACUCUGGAGCAAGCCUAAACGUUGGGAUGACUGCUCAGGACCAAAGGUAAGGCGCUUAGUCGAAUGCUGUCAGAUAAAACAGAAGGGGGCUUACUACCUUCACCC